AUCAGUUGAUUCCGGAUCUUAGAUCAGACAUUAUUAUCGAGUUCUAAUCUAAAACCGCAACUACAAAACUUUUUAUUUUUAUUGUUAAUUUAUAAUUAAAUUUUUUUCAUGAAUCGGACAUGUAACAGAUUUUAAGUGCAAUUAUCAACAAACAGGUAUUUUAUAACUAUAAACUAUUUUUAUAUCGGAAAGCCUGAAAGCUAUAUGAAUCGCAAGCCUCUGUAGUCUGCCAAUCACACUGUUUAUAAGAAUGGAUAAAAAAUAACCAAGCACAGAAAUUAAUCAGUUGAUUGCUUUUAUUCUCUAACUUAUCUGUUAUAUACAGGUCUGGAAAUAAAGUCCAAUACGCUCUAUUAGUGUGACGUUACCUAAAUUGAUAAGUGAAAUCCUAUAUCUAAAUAAACUUUGAGUCUCAUUUAAAUUACAUUGUUCGUUAGUCUACUGUUGAUUUUGAGGAUUUCUAAGUGUUUUUAAACAAAACUAUUUUUAAAAAAUAGCAUCGAAGCACGUUAAAUCUUUCUGUUAUAGUUGAGUUUUCCGAGGAAAAUAUGGCCCAACUUCAAAAAGGUGAAAACUCUUAUGAGUAGUUAUGUUGAAAAAAAUGCUGUUUGAAUGUGAAAUAUCCUCUGUUUUAACUCAAGGAGAAGUUGGAGCAGGCAUAAAAAACAAAUCUUAUAAAUUGGAGUUUGUUAAUUCUCUUGAACUUUAAACAUGGAUGAAAUUUCUCAAGAUUUGGAUAUUGACUUACAUACUGAAACAUUACUAAUGCGAACUGAACAGUUAGCGAGGUUGGAAAGUGAAAAAAUAACUGACAAGGUAAAUGGUACACGAACAAAUUGUUGUUUUCAAAAAACUAUAUUUCAAGUCAACGUACAACUAAACACAAUGCGAUUAUUACUGUACAUCUUUUAAGAAAAUCAUGUUCCUGAGUUAAUCUUCAUCUAAGUGUUGGAAGGAAGCAAGAUUUUGUUCACCACAUAGUCCUUAAUUAAAUUUGAUUUGUUUAUUACUAUUUAACUGGUGUUUAUUAUUCUAGUUUAGUCCUAGUAAGUUUUGUAACAUGCAAGAACGUGCUAGAUAAUUUUUGGACCUAGACAUUUGUGAAGUUCGUAUACGAAUUUUUUUCGUUAUCGAACUAUCAGUUGAAACUCGCGCCGUUUCCAUUGAAUUAAAAAUACCUCGACGUACCGUGGACUGCAACGUAAAAAAAUAUGCAACCACCAGGAGCUUUGGCGAUAUAAAACGUUUAGGAUAGCCUCGAAAAACCAAAACUGCUGAAGAUAAACGUAUUGUGUUAAUUAGUAAACGUCUCACAGGCCCAGAGACAACAGCUCAGAUCAACGAAUCUAGAGAAGUACUACGACAGUGAAAGCUUCCCUUUUUUAAGAGUAGCAGUGAAGAAACGCCAAAAUAAAAUGAAGAGGUUGCAAUGGGCUAAAGAACAUAUUGCACGCAUGAAGAGUGGGAGAGAGUUUUACGGGUCAGAUUCAGAUUUUUUUUUUAUCUAAGGGAUUUGUGAUAGUGACACUUUACUGCUGACUGCGCGAGAACUUUUCUCACUUUGAUUAAUUGAAAUUUAUGAUUCCGAGGAGAAGACUUAAGUCAAUCACGUGCAAAGAGCUACCGCACUGAUGACCAGAGACAGAUCAAGAAAAUAUUCGUAUUGUUAUGUCAGAAUUGUGAAAAGUCAUAAAGGGAAAAUCGAUUUUAAACGUUUACAAUUUCCGGUACGUCUGGCCGGUGCAAUGACUAUAAAUAAAUCGCAAGGCCAGUCGUUGGAAGUCAUUGAUACCGAGUAUUUUCUUUUUAUUUGUUUUAAUAAAAAAAGGAUCCAUUUUGUUUGUUUUGAGUAUAUUUUAUACAAGUUUAGGCCUUUUAUUUAUCGAAUGAGGCAGUACGAAGUCUAUCAAGUCAGCUAAUAUUUACUAUAAGCAAGUUGUGAUACUUUAUAAUCAGAUUGUGUAUUAAUAUGAAAUGGUAACCGUUGACUUGUUAAUUGUAGGUGAACUAGAAAACUUACAAUGUUCUCAAAAAACUAAUUGUUGUCCGAGUGACCAAACGAGCUGGAACUUGCAGCCAUCACUCACCAGUAAGACAACUCUGUGCUUACCAAACCUGUAUCUGACCAUAUUUCUAUGAAACUUCUCUAUCCCAAUAUAAAAUUUUCAGGAGUGGUAAACAAUACGCACAUGACUGUGAAAACGGUGAAGAAGAAAAUGACCUUAGUCGGGAAAACUAUUAUUCAGAACAAACAGUUAACUGUAAAGCUGGUUCUUCAGGCAUUUGUGGUUGUAAAUCUCAAGUUAGUCUUCACAAUUUUGAAAAAAUCGAUAUCAUUCGAAAAACUGUAUAAAUUUACUAAUAGUUUUGUUUUGCUGUUUAAGGUAUGGAUCACGUCCCAGACUCCAUGUCAAAAUCAACAAAAAUAAAAUGUUUAUUCAUCUUCUUCUUUUUUCCAUAAUAGGUUUAUUCCUUCUUCAAUAUAUCUCCUAACCCUGACACUAAGUUGUCAUUCCACCUCUUCCGUGAUCGAUUUCUAUUCGACUCCCAGUUCGAUUUUUAUGUUGGUUCCCAUUGUAUUUUACGCUGUGACACAAAAAUCUGCCUGAGAAUUUUCAACUUUGUGGUCUCCAAAAGCCGCUUCGUUUUUUUUAUCUUUCCGAUGUAGAAAUCUGCUGUUGCUUUGUAAAUUCGUGCUUUUAUUUUAUGUCUUGGGUGUUUAUCCCGCCAUACAAUGUUCUGAAGACAUUCUGCGAACUAAUUUGCUCUGACUACUUCUCUUACAUCGCAUUCUACGUGUCCAUAAUUGGUUAUGUCAAUUUUAAGCUAUUUGAAUAUACUAGUCUAAAAAACUUGACAAGUUGGCCGUUUCGCCUGGGUAGCUCACAAAAUAUUUAUUCUCCGAUUGUUAAUGUGCCAAUCUUGUGUUUCAAUUCGGUUUACAACGUUCUUCGACAUCUUUCUGCUAUAGAUCUUCUGUUAGUUUCUCCAGCUUCUUCUUAGUCUUCCUCUUCUCCUUUUCCCUUCUGUUGUCCACUAUAAGACCUGUUCUUUUGCAUUCUUUUUACAUGUUCAUACCAUAUUAGUUGUUUGAUUUUGUUGUUUUCAGUCGUUCUUCAAAAGAGAACACAACUACUUUCCCGGCUAAUGCCUCGACGAAUAUUGAAUUACAUCUCCUCUGAAGAGCGUGAUAUCAAUCGACCUUUUUGCCGAUAUAAACAUCCCCAUGAACCAUGACUAGUUUCGACGUUAUUACGUCUAAUCAGAGUGGUUUAACAACUCUCGUUCAGGCUUCAGACCCAAACUGAAGACAACGUCAAAGAGCGUUGCUAUUUGGGUCGCGUUGUCCAGCAUUCUCAAGCGAACGCUAAUUGGCGCCAUCCUCACUUCCAACUACGAACCACUGGUCAGGUAGAAAUCUAGCGUAGUCGUCGAUAAUAGAAUGUUUAACUACAUGAACCAAAUAACGACGCUCUUUGACGUUGUCUUGGGGUCUCAAGAGUUGUUAAACCACUUUGACGAGACGUAAUAACGUCAAAACUAGUCAGUAGUUGCAAAGCUCUCCUUGCAACUAGGUUUUGACCAAUCUCUAAUAACUCAUACAUUUUCAAAAUUCCAAAAUUAAUCAACAGAUUGGCACAGCCAAAAAGAAAAUCGGCCUUUGCAUGUACAAUCUCGAGAAGAACUAGAGCAACUUGCUUUGGCCGAAGCAAAGAAGUAGGUGAUGUGAUUAUUGAAAAAACAUGAUUUUUACUAUGUUUUAUUUUAUUAAUUCGAAAUUAUUGUUUACUGUUCUUCAAAGGAGAAAACAACUACUUUUCUGGCUAAUGCCGCGACGUACAUUGAAUUACAUCCUCAAUGGCUCGCAUUAGCAAGGAGAUGAUUGUGACCACUAACUAUUUUCGACGUUAUUACGCGUGAUCGGUGUGGUAUCUUCAGAAAAGAUCUAAUUCAAUAUUCAUCGAGGCAUUAGCCAGGAUAUAAAUAUUUAUUGAUCUCAUUGCUUUAUUACAAACUUGUAGGCAGAUUUGAGGAUAUUCUGGAGUAAAUAUUUCUAAAUCCCUAAAGUGCCUUUGUAUCAUUUAUAUCAUCCAGAAACUUGAGAUACUCAUUUUUCUCUUCUGACUGACUCGGAUAGUCUCAAUGUAUCUCCAAGUUUUUUUUAAGCCUAUUAGUGCCUUGAGGGCAGGUGUUAACCAGGGAGCUGGGGGAGUAAUUACUUAAACUGUUCUUAGAGGUAAAUACAUCACCAUUGUGUUUAUCCUCCAAAGUAAGGAAGAAGACUUGAAAAAUAAUGGUCCAAAGAUCUGUGACUAACUUAACACAGUCAUCGCCGUGGGAGUCACCAGGCACAUUUUAUGUGCGUUUUAUUAUUUUGGGUGACCGGCAUGACCCCUUUGUAUGUUCCUGUAGAUUGGCCUGAAUACAUAUUUUAGAAACAUGAUAAUAUAGGUUCCUAUAGUAAAAUAUGCAUUGAAAAAAUAACAUUUUUAAUAUUCUUUCAUAAACGUUACAAAAAUAAAAAAAGCUUUAAUGUUAGACUACUACAAACAUAUUUACAUGAACAGAAAUAAAUGUUUUGAUCAA